GGGAAAAAUUGGGGAAAAGUCUUUGAGGGGGAAAUUCUCCGAGGGGAAAAUUCUCCGGGGGGGAAAAGAUGGGGAAAUUCUUUGAGGGAAAAAGGGGGAAAUUAUUUGAGGGGGAAAGAGGGAAAAUUCUUUGAGGGGAAAGAAAUUCUGAGGGGAAAAUUCUGUGAGAGGGGGAAAUUCUGUGAGAGGGGAAAAGAUGGGAAAAUUCUUUGAGGGAAAAAAAUUGGGGAAAAGGGGAAAGCCUGAGGGGAAAAUUUCUUUGAGAGGGAAAGAAAUUGAGGGGAAAAGGGAAAAUUCUUUGAGGGGGGAAAAUUGGGGAAAAGAGGGGGAAGUCUUUGAGGGGGAAAUUCUGAGGGGAAAAGAGGGAAGAUUCUCUGAGGGGGAAAAUUCUCUGAGGGGGAAGAUUGGAAAAUUCUUUGAGGGGAAAAAUAUUUGAGGGGAAAAAAGGGAGAAAUUAUUUGAGGGGGAAAAUUCUUUGAGAGGGGAAAGAAAUUCUCUGAGGGGAAAAUUAUGAGAGGGGGAAAUUCUGUGAGAUGGGGAAAUAUGGGAAAAUUCUUUGAGGGAAAAAAUUGGGGAAAAGAGGGAAGAUUCUCUGAGAGGGGAAGAUUCUCUGAGAGAAUGGGGGAAUCAUUUGAGGGGAAAAGAGGGGGAAAUUAUUUGAGGGGAAAAUUAUUUGAGGGGAAAGAAAUUCUCUGAGGGGAAAAUUAUGAGAGGGGAAAAGAAAGAAGAUUCUCUGAGAGGGAAGAUUCUCUGAGAGGGGAAGAUUCUUUGAGGGGAAAAGAGGGGAAAAGAAUGAGGAAAAAUUCGAGGGGAAAUUCUUUGAGGGGAAAAAAUUGGGGAAAAGAGAGGGAAAGUCUGAAGGGAAAAUUCUUUGAGGGGGGAAAAUUGGGGGAAGUCUUUGAGGGGGAAA